rnacentral:rRNA from 1 species
GGAUUGCAGGCUGAAACCCGCCUGUAUGAAGUUGGAAUCGCUAGUAAUCGCGGAUCAGCAUGCCGCGGUGAAUACGUUCCCGGGCCUUGUACACACCGCCCGUCACACCAUGAGAGUCGGGAACACCCGAAGUCCGUAGUCUAACCGAAAGGGGGCGCGGCCGAAGGUGGGUUCGAUAAUUGGGGUGAAGUCGUAACAAGGUAGC